rnacentral:lncRNA from 1 species
UUGACCCUGACUUAUGGGACCAGUUAUUAAUUUAACCAGUUACUUCAGAAGAGGUUACUACAAUGCAGUGUUGGUUUGAACGUCUAGUGAAAUAUAUUUUACUGUGAGACUUCUGCCUGCCCAGCCUAAAAUCAAAGUGCCACUUUUGAGAUCUCCCAAGCUCCACUCACGAAUGUGCUCCCACUGUCCAUCUAACUUCUAGAACAACUUCCACAUCACUUCCUUUAAAAAGCGUCAAUCAGGAGGAAGGGAAGCCUGAGAAUUCCCCCCUGCCGUCUGUGAGCCCUGAAUUGUCAAAGUCUCUGAGGAUGAGGAAAGUAACUUGAUGAUUCAACAGGUUUGUGUAUGUUCUUCAAUGCUCUGUGCAUGUGCACUGUACCGGCCUCUUUAGCUAUGAGUUGUGCCACAUGGCUCGCAGAUGUUUAUAACUGGAGUCUGUCACAACAGCAUUCAAGAAAAUGCUGUGACUGCACUUGUUUUGUGUAAGUCUCGGAUACCAGCAUACAGAGGCUGUUGCUCACUGGCAAACUGGGACCUACCCCUUCAUACUGAUUGUCGGAACAAAAUAGAGCAUUGUGAUUUCAUCAGCUCUCACUUUAAUGUGUAUACACCACUGGCCAAAUGUGGUGGUGGAUCUUGGCAAAGUCUCUUCCUGAUAGCAAUGAGUCUGAGGCACAAAGAAUCAGGUGUUGUACAGAAAAGAUAAAGAACGAUGUUUCAAAAGCUGUGGGAGACAAUGACUCACAGCAUGAACAUAGGUUUUAUGAUCAUCCUAAAUUGAGAGCAAGGUAUUUAUUAUCGAAAACAGAGACUGGAGAAAGACACUACGUUUGACUACUGGGACAUUCUGGGUGCUUAUAAAACUUUGACAUGAUAUUAUUUUUCAUGAUGGAAACUUUUAAGGAAAUAAGUGUCUACAAGAGGUGGACAUGGACCAUGCUUAUACAACUUAAAGCUCUGAACUCUGAGAGGCAAAGUCUACUCAUUCUCCACUCUCCUCACAGCCUCUUGAAUCAGACCUUGGCCAACCCAGUUACUCUGUUAAAGAAUCAUUAAGGAAACCAAAAAAAAAAAAAAAAAAAAAA